AUUGAACGCUGGCGGCAUGCUUUACACAUGCAAGUCGAACGGUAACAGGCCGCAAGGUGCUGACGAGUGGCGAACGGGUGAGUAAUGCAUCGGAACGUGCCCAGUCGUGGGGGAUAACUACUCGAAAGAGUAGCUAAUACCGCAUACGAUCUAUGGAUGAAAGCGGGGGACCGUAAGGCCUCGCGCGAUUGGAGCGGCCGAUGUCAGAUUUGGUAGUUGGUGGGGUAAAGGCUCACCAAGCCAACGAUCUGUAGCUGGUCUGAGAGGACAACCAGCCACACUGGGACUGAGACACGGCCCAGACUCCUACGGGAGGCAGCAGUGGGGAAUUUUGGACAAUGGGCGCAAGCCUGAUCCAGCAAUGCCGCGUGCAGGAAGAAGGCCUUCGGGUUGUAAACUGCUUUUGUACGGAACGAAACGGCUCUGGUUAAUACCCGGGGCUAAUGACGGUACCGUAAGAAUAAGCACCGGCUAACUACGUG
rnacentral:rRNA from 1 species